GUCCCUUCGGCCAUUUUCGCUUCUGCUCCCGAAGGGGCUCGACGGUGCCGCGUUUCGGGACUUGAUUCCGAACCGUGGCCGAGGCCCGAUUAGCCCGUCCGACAGCGCUCGGGCACUUUCGGACAGGAGGAGGCGGAGAGCCGAGGCUCGCUCGUGAGGAUCCCUGCUCGGGAGCGUUCGGCUCCGCUCGGCUCCUCCUCGGGCGGGCUCGGCUCCCGCGGGCGGCGGGUGCAGGCAGAGCCUGCAGCGCAAGGUUCUCUAGGCCGGGUCGCGCUGCGUCGGAGGCCGGCGGAGUCGGUCUCACAGUGGGGGACCCUGUUGUCUGGGGACCACGACCGGCGCGGCCUUCUAGGCCCUGAGGAGGGCUAGCGCAGAGCCUCUCGGAAACCCUCGUGCGGCCUCGGACCAAUUCGGACCGACUCGGCUCCGCACUUCGGACCACUUCGGCCCCCCUCGUUUCCGGACUCUAGGCCUCGGCUCGGCUCGACUCGACAGGGCCUCUUCGUGCUGGUUCGGCCCCUGUUCGGGCAGCCCCGGCUCGGCUUGGCGGCCGGCUUCGGGCGGGCUCGGCUCAGCUCGGCUCGGUUCGGGCAGCCCUCCUCGGUCGAGCUCGGCCCGGCUCGGCCCGGCUCGGGCGGCCUCCUCGGGCAGCGCGCUUCGGGCUCCGUCCCGGCCUUCGGGCGGCCCCGGCCGGCGCCUUCGGGCGGGCUCGGCGGAGUCCGGAUGGAGGACUCGGACUCGGCCGCCAAGCAGCUGGGCCUGGCCGAGGCGGCGGCGGUGGCGGCCGCGGCCGCUGUGGCGGCGGCGGCCGCGGCCGCGGCGGGAGGCGAGGCGGAGGAGCCGGUGCUCAGCAGGGACGAGGACUCGGAGGAGGACGGAGACUCGGAGGCGGAGCGUGAGACGCGGCGGGUGACGGCCGUGGCGGUGAUGGCCGCCGAGCCCGGGCACAUGGACAUGGGCGCCGAGGCCCUGCCCGGCCCCGACGAGGCCGCCGCGGCCGCCGCCUUCGCAGAGGUGACCACCGUGACAGUGGCCAACGUGGGCGCCUCGGCGGACAACGUCUUCACCACGUCGGUGGCGAACGCCGCCUCGCUCUCGGGCCACGUGCUGUCGGGCAGGACAGCCCUUCAGAUCGGGGACAGUCUGAACACCGAGAAGGCCACGCUGAUCGUCGUGCACACGGACGGGAGCAUCGUGGAGACUGCCGGGCUGAAGGCACCCGCUGCCCCUCUCACCCCCGGCCCUCAGUCUCCUCCGACUCCUCUGGCUCCCGGCCAAGAGAAAGGUGGAACUAAGUACAACUGGGACCCAUCGGUGUACGACAGUGAGCUGCCUGUGCGCUGUCGGAACAUCAGUGGCACCUUGUAUAAGAGCAGGCUCGGCUCAGGAGGCCGGGGGCGCUGCAUUAAGCAGGGGGAGAACUGGUACAGCCCUACCGAGUUUGAAGCCAUGGCAGGAAGGGCCAGCAGCAAAGACUGGAAGAGAAGCAUCCGCUACGCGGGGCGGCCGCUGCAGUGCCUCAUCCAGGACGGGAUCCUAAACCCUCAUGCCGCCUCCUGCACCUGUGCCGCCUGCUGUGAUGACAUGACCCUGAGCGGGCCCGUCAGGCUCUUCGUCCCCUACAAGAGGCGCAAGAAGGAGAGCGAGCUGCCUGCCACGCCCGUCAAGAAGGACGCCCCCAAGAACAUCACCCUGCUUCCCGCCGCAGCCGCCACCACCUUCACCGUGACCCCCUCAGGACAGAUCACUACCUCUGGCGCGCUGACCUUCGACCGGGCGUCCACCGUGGAGGCCACCGCGGUCAUCUCGGAGAGUCCGGCCCAGGGCGACGUCUUCGCGGGAGCCACAGUACAAGAGGCAGGCGUGCAGCCCCCAUGCAGGGUCGGCCACCCGGAGCCCCACUACCCAGGGUAUCAGGACAGCUGUCAGAUCGCACCGUUCCCGGAGGCCGCGUUGCCAACGUCUCAUCCCAAAAUAGUGUUGACAUCCUUGCCUGCCCUGGCGGUGCCGCCCUCCACCCCCACCAAAACCGUGUCUCCCGCUGUGGUCAGUGGAUUGGAGAUGUCGGAACCGCGGAGCUGGCUGUACCUGGAGGAGAUGGUCAAUUCCUUGCUCAGCACCGCGCAGCAGCUGAAGACGUUGUUUGAACAGGCCAAGCAGGCCAGCUCCUACCGAGAAGCCGCCGCGGCCCAGGCCAGAGUCCAGGCGGAUGCAGAGCGGAAAGAGGAAAAGCCCACAGUCACGGCCAGGCUCACCCCACAUUUAAGGGUCCAGAAGCUGAAUUCCUGCUGUGCAGAACUUCCCCCUCGACCCACCGUGGGACACGUGCUGAUGUGCGUGUCCGUCGGGUCAGCCAGGAGCGUCUGCCGCAGCCGGAUCGCUGAGGUCCCCACCGUGAAAGCAGUUCUGUGUCAACUGCGGCCGGGAGGCCCUGAGCGAGUGCACCGGCUGCCACAAGGUCAACUACUGCUCUACCUUCUGCCAGCGCAAGGUUUGUGCUCCUGUGACACGCUGCCCUGAUAAAGGCAUAGGCUUUGGUUUUAUUGGGUUGCCCACAAAGUUCCUUCGGUUUUGAAGUAAAAGGAAAAGACACAUUUUUCAUUUUUCCCAACAACUUUAUUGAACAACGUAUUCACCGUUUUGUUCCACUACCUUCUGCCAUUUUUCAGCCAACUUCAUAAUUCCAUCUUCCUAAAAUGUUUAUCUUUUUGAGCAAAGAACUGUUCCAGGUGCCUUUUACAGUCUUCCAGGGAAUUGGAAUUUUUUCCAUUAAGAGAAUUUUGUAAAGACCGAAAUCAAUGGAAAUCUGAAGGGGCAAUGUGUGGUGAAUACGGCGGAUGAAUCAGAACUUCCCAGCCAAGCUGUAACAGUGUUUGCCUGGUCAUCAAAGAAACACGCCGUCUUGCAUUAUGCUGAUGGAAGAUUAUGCGUUUCCUGUUGACUCAUUCCGGACGCUUUUUGUCGAGUGCUGCUUUCAGUUGGUCUAAUUGGGAGCAGUGCUUGUUGGAAUUAAUCGUUUGGUUUUCUGGAAGGAGCUCAUAAUAGAGAACUCCCUUCCACUCCCACCCGAUACACAACAUCACCUUCUUUGGAUGGAAGACCUGCCUUUAGUGUGGUUGGUGGUGGCUCAUUUCGCUUGCCCCACGAUCUCUUCUGUUCCACAUUAUCGUACAGUAUCCACUUUUCAUUGCCCGUCACAACUUGUUUUAAAAAUGGAACGUUACCAUUACGUUUAAGUAGAGAAUCGCAUGCAGAAAUACAGUCAAGAAGGUUUUUUUCGCUUAACUUAUGUGGAACCCAGACAUCAAAGCGAUGAACAGAACCAAGCUGAUGCAAAUGAUUUUCAAGGCUUGAUUUGGAUAUUUUGAGUAUGUCGGCUAUCUCCCGCGUGGUAUAACGUUGAUUGUUCUCAAUUAUUGUUUCGAUUUGAUCGCUCUCAACUUCAACUGGUCUACCUGACCGUGGAGCAUUGUCCAGCGAGAAAUCUCCAGCACGAAACUUCGCAAACCACUUUUGACACGUUUGAUCAGUUACAGCACCUUCUCCAUACACGGCACAAGUCUUUUUUUGGGGGGUUUCAGCUGCGUUUUUACCUUUCUUGAAAUAAGAAAGCAUAAUAUGCGGAAAAUGUUGCUUUUUUUUUUCUUCAGUAUUAAAAUGGCUACACAAAAAUUCAAUUUUUUUUUUUUUAAAUUCACCAAUUUUGAUAACCUUUUUUUAAAUGCAUGCUGAUAUGACAGCUGUCACAAUACAGUCUAACAAAAUUGUUUUGAAUGAAGUUAAAGACAGUUAAGCUCUACUAGAGCCAUCUUAUGGAAAAAAACAAACUCUUUGGCCAACCCAAUAUUUACAAAAAUCAAUGUACAGUGAAGUUCAAAAACCGUAGUUUUCACGUGGGAUCCAUCAUGAACACUCGGUAGGACCUGAAAAAACCUAAGCCAUAGGCUCCUUGUAGUAAAUGGUGGUGCCGACAUUGCAGCUUCUGUGCCUGCCCACUGUGCUCCCCAGAAUUCUGUGUGCUCCCCAAAGACCUGGAAAGGUAGUUAAUGUUACUCACCUUCUUACAAGCUGGACAAGGGCCAUGAAUUGUUUUGGCUUUUACGUGCAGACUUUAUGUUCUUUCCAAAUCCCAUGUGAGGUGUGUGUGUGUAUGUUUUACAUCUUCAUCGAGGUAGAAUUUACAUACCAGAAAAUCCAUUAAUUUUAAGGGUACGAUUCAGUGGUUUUUAGCAAGUUUGCAUUUGUGCAAACAUGACAAUUCGGUUUUAGAACUUUCCAUCGCCCCCAAAAGCCCCCUCAGGCCUGCACCCCAGCCACUGGCAACCACGAAUCUCUUUCUCUGUAGAUUUGCCUCUUCUGGACAUUUCACGUAGCAGGAGUCGUAUAACACGCGGUCUCCCGCAUCUGGCUUCCUCUGACCAGCAUGUUUCCAAGGUUCGUCCACGUGGAGGCUGAGUUGCAUCCACGGUGUGGCUGGACCUCGUCUUGCCCUCCAGUCCUCAGCCCGCGGACAUCAGAGUGGUUCCCGCCACGUGACUGUCGUGAACACUCAUGAGCCAGCUCCAGGGUGGAGACAGCUUUUUGUUUGUCUUGGCUACAUGCGCACAUGGAUUUGCUGAGUCAUAUGGUAAACUUGUGUUUAACUUUAGUAAGAAACUUCCCAACUUUUCCCAGGUGACUGCACCCCCUCCAGCGGCGGGUCCACCCACGUCCACAGCGCUUGCUCUUGCUUUCCGGUCGUAGCCCUGCUGCCGGGUGUGAAGCGACAUCAGUGCGUUUAGUCUGCAUCUCCCUGAUGUCUAAAGAUGUCGAGCAUCGUUGUGUGUGCUUAUUGGGCGUUGUAUAUCUUUUGGGGGGAAAUGUCUUUUCAAAUCUUUUGCCCGUUUUUAAAUGGGAUCGUUUUUCUUCUUAUCGAGUGUGGAGAUGUCUGUGUAUAUUCUGGAUACAAGUCCUUUAUCAGAUACGUGAUUUCCACAUAUUUUCCCCCAGUCUGUGACUUGUCUCUUUAUUUCUUAAUAGUGUCAUUUGAAGGGCAAAAGUUUUUUUAAUUUUGAUGAAGUCCAGUUUACUUUUUAAAAAUGUUUAUUAUCUAUUAUUUUUUAUAUUUGGCCGUGCCAUAAGGCUUAUGGGAUCUUAGUUCCCAACCGGGGAUCAAACCCGGGCCCCCUGCAGUGGAAGCAUGGAGUCCUAACCACUAGGGAAGUCCCAAGAAGUCCAGUUUAUUAAAAAAACAUUUUUAAUGGAGAUCACGCUCUUGGUGUCAUAUCUCAGAACUUUUGCCUGACUCAAGGUUAGGAAAAUCUCCUAUUUUCCUCUAAAACAUUUACAAUUUUAGCUCUUUUUUUUUUUUUCUUCGGCCGCAUAGCGUAGCUUGCAGGAUCUCAGUUCACCAACCAGGGAUUGAACCUCAGCCAUGGCAGUGAAAGUGCCGGGUCCUAACCGCUGGACCACCAGGGAACUCCCUUUAAGCUCUUAUUUUUAGAUUUAUGACCCAUCUUGAGUUAAUUUUUAUGUAUGGUGUGAAACAGUGUGGACUUGAGCCCAGCACACAUGAAGUUUUACAUACUGUAUAGACUUACAGAGUCAGGUAAUCUAGUCAGGUAAUUUACAAAUUAAAAAUUUAUCCUUUUGAGUCUAAAAAUAGCAGGUGCUGGAGAGGGUGUGGAGAAAAGGGAACCCUCUUACACUGUUGGUGGGAAUCUAAAUUGGUGCAGCCACUAUGGAGAGCAGUAUGGAGGUUCCUUACUAAACUAAAAAUAGAGUUGCCAUUUGAUCCAACGAUCCCACUCCUGGGCAUUUAUCCAGAGAAAACUAAUUCGAAAAGAUACACGCACCCCAGUGUUCAUAGCAGCUCUGUUUACAAUUGGCAAGACAUGGAAGCAACCUAAAUGUCCAUCAACAGAGGAAUGGAUAAAGAAGAUGUGGUACAUACAUACAAUGGAAUACUACUCGGCCAUAAAAAAGAAUGAAAUAAUGCCAUUUGCAGCAACAUGGAUGGACCUAGAAAUUAGCAUUCUGAGUGAAGUAAGUCAGAAAGAGGAAGACAAAUACCAUGUAUCACUUAUAUGUGGAAUCUAAAAAUAUGACACAAAUGGAAUUAUUUACAAAACAGAAACAGAUUCACAGACAUAGAGAACAGACUUGUGGUUGCCAAGAGGGAGCGGGGUUGGGGAGGGAUGGAUUGGGAUUAGCAGAUGCAAACUAUUAUACAUAGAAUGGAUAAACAACAAGCUCCUAAUGUAUAGCAUGGGGAACUAUAUUCAGUAUCCUGUGAUAAACCAUGAUGGAAAAUGAUGUGAAAAAGAAAAAAUAUAUGUAUAUAACUGAAUCACUUUGCUGUACAGCAGAAAUUAACACAACUGUAAAUCAACUAAACUUCAAUAAAAAAUAAAUUUAAAAAAAUUUAUUCUUUUGAUAUACAGGCAGACCUCGUUUUAUUGCACUUCUCAGAUGUUGCGUUUUUACAAAUUAAAGGUGUGUGGCAAUCCUGCCUUGUCAGGUGAUGGUUAGCAUUUUUAGGAAUAGAGUGUCUUUGAAUUAGGUUCGUACAGUCACACACUUAAUAGACUACAGUGUAGUGUAAACGUGAUCUGUAUAAGCCCUGGAAAACCUGAAAUCUUGUGUGACUCGCUUUAUUGCUACAUCCGCUUUAUUCUGGAACUGAACCCGCAAUGUCUCCGAGGUAUGCCUGUAAUGAUUUGAAAUUUUACCUUUUUAUUAUAAAAAUAAGGCAACACUUGUAGAAAAUUCGGAAGACAUAGGACAGCACGAAGAUAGGCAGCUGGAACCCUGCCCUCCGGGGGUCACCGCUGGUCUCUGUUCUUCCGAGUGUGUGUGAUGUUCAUUCAAGUCUUGUCGUGGCUCACCAAACCCUAACCUCUCCGUGCGUCUUGGGGUCCGUGUCUCCACUAACCACGCCCCGUUGGGCCCCCAGAGCGAGCCCUGCUCCAGGCCAAGUUCGGCUCCAUUUCCCGCCUGUGAAUGGGCGACAGCAGCUCCUGCCCUGACAGGGGGCGCUGGGGGGCGGGUGGACGUCCUGCCCGACCUCCCUGGGGGCCACGGCCUCCCAGCCCCUCUGUGGACACGUGGCUGGCUCCCGCUCGGUGUUUUCACUUCUGCGAUGAUAAGUAACACGGUGGGCAGCAACAUCAGAGACAAGUAUUCCUCUGCAGGUGUGAGUGUCUUUGUUUAGGUCCCAGGGAGGCAGCAGCAGGAUCAGCGCGUGGACGUGGCUCAAGGGUCAUCCCGGGACUGGAAGGACCACCAGCACGUGUGUGGCCGGUCGGCGGCCGUCACCGCGCAGGGGGACGACGUCCACGUCACCGAGGCUGUGAUCGAGAAGGUCACCGUGUGAGCGCCCGCGGGGCCUCUGUGGCCAGGAAGGACCCUC